rnacentral:rRNA from 1 species
AAUUAAUAUAAAUUAAUAUUAUUAAUUAUAUUAAUUUAAUAAUAACAUUAAAUAAAAUUUUAAUUUUUUAGUAAAAUAUAAAUUAAUUAAAUAUUUAAUUUUUUUAUUAAAACAAAUAAAAAAUUAUCUAAAAAACUAGGAUUAGAUACCCUAUUAUUAUAAUAUAAAUUAAAAAAUUUAAGUAUUAAUUAUUAAUUUACUAAACUUAAAAAAUUUGACGGUAUUUUAAAUUUAGAGGAAUUUGUAAUUUAAUUUGAUACCCCACAAUUUUAUAAACUUAUUUUUUAUAUUUAUAUACUUCUGUUUAAAAUUAAUUUAUAAAUAAUUCUUAAGUAAUUUUAUAUAGAUAAAAUUCAAGUCAAAGUAUAAUUUAUAAAUAAGAACUUAUGAAUUACUUUAAUAAAAUCUAAUAAAUAUAUUAACUUAUUUAACUAUAGAAUUUAAUAAUAAAUUUUAAAUAAAUAUUAAAAUUAAAAUUUUUUUAAAAUAUGUACAUAUCGCCCGUCACUCUCAAUAUUUGAGAUAAGUCGUAACAAAGUAAAAUUACUGGAAAGUAAUUUUAGAAUU